rnacentral:tRNA from 1 species
ACUCGGAUAGCUCAGAAGGAAGAGCAGUUGACUUGUAAUCAAAAGGUCCCGGGUUCGAGUCCCGGUCGGAGCU